CUUGCUUUUCUUCUUAGACAUUCACUAUGUGCUUAUUUUCCCCAUAAGAUGAAUAAAAACAACAAACUUUCCAGUUUCAUAGCCAUAAGAAAUGCUGCUUUCUCUUAAGUCGGCAUUGGGAUCUCUGCCAAUGCCAUGCUCCUUCUCUUCCACAUCCUCACGUACCUUCUCAAGCACAGGACCAAGCCCGCUGACCUGAUCGUUGGUCAUGUGGCUCUAAUCCAUAUCAUAUUGCUGCUACCCACAGAGUUCAUAGCUACAGAUAUUUUUGGGUCUCAGGAUUCAGGGGAUGACAUCAAACAUAAGUCAGUUAUCUACAGGUACAGGUUGAUGAGAGGCCUCUCCAUUUCCACCACCUGCCUGCUGAGUAUCCUCCCGGCCAUCACCUGCAGCCCCAAAAGCUCCUGUUUGGCAGUGUUCAAAGAUUCUCACAUCACCAACCACGUUGCUUUCUCUUCCUAUGGGUCUUCCACAUAUCCAUUAGUGACAGCUUCUUAGUCUCCACUCUUCCCAUCAAAAAUCUGGCCUCAAAUAGCCUUACAUUUGUGACUCAAUCCUGCUCUGCUGGGAUCCUGAGUUGCUUCCUUGAGCAGACAAUUUUCACACUGAUGACAUUUCAGGAUGUCUCCCUUGCAGGGCUCACGGCCCCCCUCCAGUGGAUACAUGGUGAUUCUCUUGUCCAGGCAUAACAGGCAGUCCCACCAUUUUCACAGCACCAACCUUUCUCCAAAAGCACCCCCAGAAAAAAUGGCCACGCAGACCAUUCUUCUGCUCGUGAGUUGCUUUGUGAUUGUGUAUGUUUUGGACUGUGUUGUUGCCUCCUGCUCAGGACUGGUGUGGAACAGUGAUCCAGUCCGUCAUCGAGUCCAGAUGCUGGUGGACAAUGGCUAUGCCACCAUCAGUCCUUCAGUGCUAGUCAGUACUGAAAAAUGAAUGAUCAAAGUCUGAACAUCCAUGUGGGAGAAG
rnacentral:sRNA from 1 species